AAAAAUAUAUGUUGUAUGUAUAUAUUUAUUUUAUGGCACACUAAUAUGUUAUGAGUCCAAUUGAGAAUCUUGCAUUGGAAAAAUAUUGCAGAUGUCAUAAAUUUGAAACAUGAAGAAACAUACAGAUCACAAAAUGUAGUUUUUUCAUGUUGUAGAAUUAUUUGUUUAGUAUUGCCUAUAUUUUAUUUCUUAAUAUUAAUUUGCCAAUAGUUUUUUUUAUCAUAUUAAUCCCUAUCGAACUAAUUGGACACAUGAGAUGUUUUGGCUUCCAAUUCAGGGAUCCAAUCUGAAUCUCACACAACAAAACUUUAUAUAAAAUGUUUUGAUCCAUUUCAUCAGUCACAAUCCUUUAUAGUCUGGUUGACACCUCCAUGAGAUAGACUUAAUUGCUGCAGGAAGUGCAUUGCAUUCUGCAAGAUCUGGUCUGAUAUUAGUCCCAUAUUUUCAGAUUUUUUACAGGAGGGAUCUGGAGUUGAUUUGUUGAACCCCAUUUUUUUUUUUACAUGAUGGCAACCACACAACUUGUGUGUUGCACAUUGUAGGAACUUUGAAUGGCCCUCUAUAUAAUCUGAAGCACCAUUCAGCCUUGGGCUAAUUGGGCCCUGCACUUUAAUUUGCUAAAAACAUCAAACAUUGGUCUAUUUUAAAUAUGCUAUAUAUGUAACAUGCAGUAAGUAAACUGUUGUGUGUAUGUCACAUGUUGGAUGGAAAAAGAAUGUUGACUGAUGAUGCAAGCAUCCAUGAAAGAAAUAUUCAAAGGUCAAGUUUGAGUUCUCCAGAAGCUCUUCACUUUCUAAUCCAUUUCUAACAACCUCUAGGAAAAAUGUCCACAGAGAAAUAUAAUGAAAUUUCCUUUCUUACAAGACCUAACAAUCACCAAUAUUUAGGGCUCACCAAGUCAGGCCUAUUCAAGAUAUUCCUUGUAAUCCAUUGUUUCCUUUUUCUUCAAACACAGACUUCUCUCUUUCCAUGUCACUCCUGUUACAUCUAUGUCCAAUCCCCCAGUACAGACUGCAAGAUUUUGCUGGUCCAAGCAGAGUUAAAUGUCCGCCUCCUUUCCCAUAUUGAAAAAAAUUGAUUCAGAAAAAUACAAUUUAUUUUGUUAAAUAUAAAAAAUAUGAAAAUAAUAUAUUAAAUUUUUAAAAAAUACAAACUUUA
rnacentral:lncRNA from 1 species